rnacentral:tRNA from 1 species
GGCGCUGUGGCUCAAGUGGUAGAGCACUAGCCUUGAACUCUAGAGUUGAGGGACAGCGCCU